AUUGAACGCUGGCGGAAUGCUUUACACAUGCAAGUCGAACGGCAGCACGGGGCAACCUGGUGGCGAGUGGCGAACGGGUGAGUAAUACAUCGGAACGUGCCCAAUCGUGGGGGAUAACGUAGCGAAAGUUACGCUAAUACCGCAUACGAUCUACGGAUGAAAGCGGGGGAUCGCAAGACCUCGCGCGAAUGGAGCGGCCGAUGUCAGAUUAGGUAGUUGGUGGGGUAAAGGCUCACCAAGCCAACGAUCUGUAGCUGGUCUGAGAGGACGACCAGCCACACUGGAACUGAGACACGGUCCAGACUCCUACGGGAGGCAGCAGUGGGGAAUUUUGGACAAUGGGCGCAAGCCUGAUCCAGCCAUUCCGCGUGCAGGAUGAAGG
rnacentral:rRNA from 1 species